rnacentral:rRNA from 1 species
CCUACGGGUGGCAGCAGUGAGGAAUAUUGGUCAAUGGCCGUAAGGCUGAACCAGCCAAGUCGCGUGAAGGAAGAAGGAUCUAUGGUUUGUAAACUUCUUUUGUAGGGGAAUAAAGGCAUCCACGCGUGUCUAUUUGCAUGUACCCUAUGAAUAAGCAUCGGCUAACUCCGUGCCAGCAGCCGCGGUAAUACGGAGGAUGCGAGCGUUAUCCGGAUUUAUUGGGUUUAAAGGGUGCGUAGGCUGUCUGUUAAGUCAGCGGUGAAAGCUUGUGGCUCAACCAUAAAAUUGCCGUUGAAACUGGAAGACUUGAGUGUGAUUGAGGUAGGCGGAAUGCGUGGUGUAGCGGUGAAAUGCAUAGAGAUCACGCAGAACUCCGAUUGCGAAGGCAGCUUACUAAGCCAUAACUGACACUGAAGCACGAAAGCGUGGGGAUCAAACAGGAUUAGAUACCCCAGUAGUC